UACGAAGGGGGCUAGCGUUGCUCGGAAUCACUGGGCGUAAAGGGUGCGUAGGCGGGUCUUUAAGUCAGGGGUGAAAUCCUGGAGCUCAACUCCAGAACUGCCUUUGAUACUGAAGAUCUUGAGUUCGGGAGAGGUGAGUGGAACUGCGAGUGUAGAGGUGAAAUUCGUAGAUAUUCGCAAGAACACCAGUGGCGAAAGGCGGCUCGACUGGCCCGCU
rnacentral:rRNA from 1 species